rnacentral:rRNA from 1 species
AAUAGAUACCCGGGUAGUCCACGCCGUAAACGGUGGGCACUAGAUGUGGGGCUCUUUCCAUGAGUUCCGCGUCGCAGCUAACGCAUUAAGUGCCCCGCCUGGGGAGUACGGCCGCAAGGCUAAAACUCAAAGGAAUUGACGGGGGCCCGCACAAGCGGCGGAGCAUGCGGAUUAAUUCGAUGCAACGCGAAGAACCUUACCAAGGCUUGACAUAUACGGUCUAUCCCUAGAGAUAGGGAGUGCUUCGGCGCCGUAUACAGGUGGUGCAUGGUUGUCGUCAGCUCGUGUCGUGAGAUGUUGGGUUAAGUCCCGCAACGAGCGCAACCCUCGUCCUAUGUUGCCAGCACGUAAUGGUGGGGACUCAUAGGAGGCUGCCGGGGUCAACUCGGAGGAAGGUGGGGAUGACGUCAAAUCAUCAUGCCCCUUAUGUCUUGGGCUUCACGCAUGCUACAAUGGCCGGUACAAAGGGCUGCAAUACCGCAAGGUGGAGCGAAUCCCAAAAGCCGGUCUCAGUUCGGAUUGGGU